rnacentral:rRNA from 1 species
UACGAGGGGGGCAAGCGUUGUUCGGAAUUACUGGGCGUAAAGGGCGCGUAGGCGGUCUGUUAAGUUCGGUGUGAAAGCCCCCGGCUCACCUGGGGAACUGCGCCGGAAACCGACAGACUCGAGUACCGGAGAGGAGGGUGGAAUUCCUGGUGUAGCGGUGAAAUGCGUAGAUAUCAGGAGGAACACCGGUGGCGAAGGCGGCCCUCUGGACGGAUACUGACGCUGGUGCGCGAAAGCAUGGGGAGCAAACAGG